AGUGAACGCUGGCGGUAGGCCUAACACAUGCAAGUCGAACGGCAGCACAGAGGAGCUAGCUCCUUGGGUGGCGAGUGGCGGACGGGUGAGGAAUACAUCGGAAUCUACUCUGUCGUGGGGGAUAACGUAGGGAAACUUACGCUAAUACCGCAUACGACCUACGGGUGAAAGCAGGGGAUCUUCGGACCUUGCGCGAUUGAAUGAGCCGAUGUCGGAUUAGCUAGUUGGCGGGGUAAAAGCCCACCAAGGCGACGAUCCGUAGCUGGCCUGAGAGGAUGAUCAGCCACACUGGAACUGAGACACGGUCCAGACUCCUACGGGAGGCAGCAGUGGGGAAUAUUGGACAAUGGGCGCAAGCCUGAUCCAGCCAUACCGCGUGGGUGAAGAAGGCCUUCGGGUUGUAAAGCCCUUUUGUUGGGAAAGAAAUCCAUCUGGUUAAUACCCGGGUGGGAUGACGGUACCCAAAGAAUAAGCACCGGCUAACUUCGUGCCAGCCGCCGCAGUAA
rnacentral:rRNA from 1 species